rnacentral:rRNA from 1 species
ACGGCCGUACCAUGCUGAAUAUACCGGUUCUCGUUAGAUCACCGAAGUCAAGCAUCAUUGGGCGCGGUCAGUACUUGGGUGGGUGACCACCUGGGAACACUGCGUACCGUU